rnacentral:rRNA from 1 species
GAUGAACGCUGGCGGCGUGCCUAAUACAUGCAAGUCGAGCGAACGGACGAGAAGCUUGCUUCUCUGAUGUUAGCGGCGGACGGGUGAGUAACACGUGGAUAACCUACCUAUAAGACUGGGAUAACUUCGGGAAACCGGAGCUAAUACCGGAUAAUAUUUUGAACCGCAUGGUUCAAAAGUGAAAGACGGUCUUGCUGUCACUUAUAGAUGGAUCCGCGCUGCAUUAGCUAGUUGGUAAGGUAACGGCUUACCAAGGCAACGAUGCAUAGCCGACCUGAGAGGGUGAUCGGCCACACUGGAACUGAGACACGGUCCAGACUCCUACGGGAGGCAGCAGUAGGGAAUCUUCCGCAAUGGGCGAAAGCCUGACGGAGCAACGCCGCGUGAGUGAUGAAGGUCUUCGGAUCGUAAAACUCUGUUAUUAGGGAAGAACAUAUGUGUAAGUAACUGUGCACAUCUUGACGGUACCUAAUCAGAAAGCCACGGCUAACUACGUGCCAGCAGCCGCGGUAAUACGUAGGUGGCAAGCGUUAUCCGGAAUUAUUGGGCGUAAAGCGCGCGUAGGCGGUUUUUUAGUCUGAUGUGAAAGCCCACGGCUCAACCGUGGAGGGUCAUUGGAAACUGGAAAACUUGAGUGCAGAAGAGGAAAGUGGAAUUCCAUGCGUAGCGGUGAAAUGCGCAGAGAUAUGGAGGAACACCAGUGGCGAAGGCGACUUUCUGGUCUGUAACUGACGCUGAUGUGCGAAAGCGUGGGGAUCAAACAGGAUUAGAUACCCUGGUAGUCCACGCCGUAAACGAUGAGUGCUAAGUGUUAGGGGGUUUCCGCCCCUUAGUGCUGCAGCUAACGCAUUAAGCACUCCGCCUGGGGAGUACGACCGCAAGGUUGAAACUCAAAGGAAUUGACGGGGACCCGCACAAGCGGUGGAGCAUGUGGUUUAAUUCGAAGCAACGCGAAGAACCUUACCAAAUCUUGACAUCCUUUGACAACUCUAGAGAUAGAGCCUUCCCCUUCGGGGGACAAAGUGACAGGUGGUGCAUGGUUGUCGUCAGCUCGUGUCGUGAGAUGUUGGGUUAAGUCCCGCAACGAGCGCAACCCUUAAGCUUAGUUGCCAUCAUUAAGUUGGGCACUCUAAGUUGACUGCCGGUGACAAACCGGAGGAAGGUGGGGAUGACGUCAAAUCAUCAUGCCCCUUAUGAUUUGGGCUACACACGUGCUACAAUGGACAAUACAAGGGGCAGCGAAACCGCGAGGUCAAGCAAAUCCCAUAAAGUUGUUCUCAGUUCGGAUUGUAGUCUGCAACUCGACUACAUGAGGCUGGAAUCGCUAGUAAUCGUAGAUCAGCAUGCUACGGUGAAUACGUUCCCGGGUCU